ensembl:lncRNA
UCUGAUCUUCUUUUGCUCAGGACCCCAUAUUUCCCUUUGGAUCCUGUAUCUUUAUCAAACAUUGCAUUGGAGUCCCAGAAGAAAUAAUUGGUUUUAGUAUUCGAUAGUGAGAUACAAAGUCAGACCUAUCAUUUGACUUUGAACUUCCUGGUCACUUCUGGUUGAGUAUGAUAAACAAAUGAGCCUCUCCAAAAUGAGACAAUGCUUCAUGAUAGAAGCUGAAGAAAAGUAGAGUCUCAACAAUAGGAUAGAUUCAAUGUUUCACGGGACAAAUACCCCUUUCAAAUGUAUAUCACCAGGGCCUACAAACAGCCAUUUUAAAGUUUGCCAAAUUAUGACCACAAGAUCUACCCUUCUCUCCUCUGCUGGGCAUGGAUCUGGAGCCUCAUGGACCAUGAGGAAAGCAGAAAUAUACAAUAGGUUGUGAACCAAUUCUCAGCAUCAAAGUGAGCAAGUCAUCAGGAGCUCCUCAUGUGGUGAGUUCUCCUGGAUGCAGAUUCUGCAAGAGGAUGGACCACCUUCAGGGAGCUGACUGUCCCAAACCCAAAGCAAUGAAGCCCAGGAGCCGCCAGCUCUUUGCAGAGGAGGGUUCCUGACACCUUGGAAAUGAAGAAGGAGAAACAUCUGGCAGCAAAUGGCUGAACAAAAUGCCACUGGACUGGAAAGGAGAUCCUCAGACUCAUGGUUGUGUCACCCCAGUGCCCAGCAUGCGGCCUGCACGUGAUUGGUCCUCGGUUCUGUAGUUGAUUGAGGCCAGGUUGUUAUUGGACGUAUCUGAGAUAUUUUACUCAGUGCCUUUUUUGUUAUUGUUUUAAUUAUGAAAGUCCUAAAUGCUCUGACAACAAAUUCAGACGGACAGAGGGGUAAAGCAAAAACCGUCCCCAUCCAUCCCUGCUCUUUUUUUUUUGAGGAAGAUUAGCCCUGAGCUAACAUCUGCUGCCAAUCCUCCUCUUUUUGCUGAGGAAGACUGGCCCUGAGCUCAGAUCCAUGCCCAUCUUCCUCUACUUUAUAUGUGGGAUGCCUACCACAGCAUGGCUUGCCAAGCGGUGCUGUAUCUGCACCCGGGAUCGAACUGGCAAACCCUAGGCUGCUAAAGCGGAACGUGUGAACUUAACCACUGCACCACCAGGCUGGCCCCCAUCCUUGCUCUUACUAACCAGGGUCAGUAACUCCCUAUAACUCAAUAAUUUCUUGUAAUUCCAUCUAGAAAUUUCUUAGCAAAUGUAAGCAUAAUAGACACACACACAGAGUUGGUCAUACUACACAUUAGAUCCUUAAUUUGCUUUUCUCACUUAAAAAUAUAUCUAUUGAAGAUCUUUCACACCAGCCUAUCCUAUAUAAUGGCUGCAAAAUAUAUUUCAGUGCUUGAGGGUGCCAUAAUUUAGUUACUCAUUCACCGUCAGGUGGAUGUUUAUAUGGUUUGCAGGUUUUUUGGUUUUAUAGUGUUAUAGUGAAUGUAAUCAUGCAUAGAUCAUUGGGCACUUUUACCAGUAAAUCUAGAUGGCACAUCACUAAAAGUGGAACUGCUGGGUCAAAUUUUGGAGAACAU